rnacentral:tRNA from 1 species
GGCCGGGAAGAUGACCAGUGUCCGGUAACUGGCGGCUUGGGAGAAGCCUGGGUGCAGGUUCGAAUCCUGCCCUCGGUCG